GACGAACGCUGGCGGCGUGCCUAAUACAUGCAAGUUGAGCGCUGAAGGUUGGUCCUUGUACCAACUGGAUGAGCAGCGAACGGGUGAGUAACGCGUGGGGAAUCUGCCUUUGAGCGGGGGACAACAUUUGGAAACGAAUGCUAAUACCGCAUAAAAACUUUAAACACAAGUUUUAAGUUUGAAAGAUGCAAUUGCAUCACUCAAAGAUGAUCCCGCGUUGUAUUAGCUAGUUGGUGAGGUAAAGGCUCACCAAGGCGAUGAUACAUAGCCGACCUGAGAGGGUGAUCGGCCACAUUGGGACGGAGACACGGCCCAAACUCCUACGGGAGGCAGCAGUAGGGAAUCUUCGGCAAUGGACGAGAGUCUGACCGAGCAACGCCGCGUGAGUGAAGAAGGUUUUCGGAUCGUAAAACUCUGUUGGUAGAGAAGAACGUUGGUGAGAGUGGAAAGCGCAUCAAGUGACGGUAACUACCCAGAAAGGGACGGCUAACUACGUG
rnacentral:rRNA from 1 species